ACGCCAUCUGGUGGAUGGCUAGGCUAGGAGGGCGAUGAAGGGCGUGGCAAGCUGCGAUAAGCGCCGGGUAGGUGCAUGCGACCGUUGAUCCGGCGAUCCCCGAAUGGGAAUCCUACCCGUAAGGGUACUCCCUUGCGUAAGCAGGGGAGGGCGAACCACCCGAAAGGAAGCAUCUGAGUAGGGUGAGGAAGAGAAAUCAACCGAGAUUCCCUGAGUAGCGGAGAGCGAAAGGGGAGGAGCCCAAACCGAAUCUACUGCAGUAAUGCAGUAGAGAUGUGGGGUAUGUUGGUAACUACCUUAAAUGGUAUUAUACCUGAGCAUAUAGCCGAAGUGCCCUGGAAUGGGUCGGCAUAGAGGGUGAUACCCCCGUAGGUUAAAUAUGCUCAGGUAUAAGUUACCAACUAGAGUAGCUGGCCUUGGCAGUGGCUAGCGAAGAUGGGGGAAAUUAGCCUCCAAGGCUAAAUACCUUCCUAGACCGAUAGCGUACUAGUACCGUGAGGGAAAGCUGAAAAGCACCCCGGGAGGGGGGUGAAAAGAGCCUGAAACCAGAUGGUUACAGACGUGCACUGCCCAGAAGUGCCGCAAGGCACAGGGUAGUGCGUUCCGUCUAGAAACACGGGCCAGGGAGUUUAUCCCUAUGGCGAGUCUAAGCCUAAAGGCGUAAGCGAAGGGAAACCGAGUCUCCGCAGCAGCGAUGAGCUGCAAGGGAGAGGGUCUGAAAGGGCCUGAGCCAUAGGGGUAAGGCUAGAAACCGAGCGAUCUAGUCCUGGGCAGGGCGAAGCCGGGCGAAAGCCUGGUGGAGGCCCGCAGGGGUGCUGACGUGCAAAUCGCUCCUCUGACCUGGGACUAGGGGCCAAAAACCAAUCUAGCUCGGUGAUAGCUAGUUCCCACCGAAGCGGAUCGCAGUCCUGCCUGGGUGGAGGUUGCUGAUGCUGUAGAGCACCGAUGGGAUGGCAAGGGCCCGAAAGGGCUCACCGUCCUUUCGAACUCCGAAGGCAUCAGCACCUGAGAAGCCCGGAGGCGGGUUUGUGUGGGGUAAGCCCCACAACCGAGAGGGGAGCAACCCAGACUAGGGUUAAGGUCCCCAAGUUCUGGCUAAGUGUCAAACCAAAGGGUGUCCUCGGGCUAAGACAGCAGGGAGGUAGGCUUAGAAGCAGCCAUCCUUUAAAGAGUGCGUAACAGCUCACCUGCCGAGCCUGAGGGCCCCGAAAAUGGACGGGGCUCAAGCCAGACACCGAUACCCUAGACCUCUUGCUAAAGCAAGAGGUGGUAGGUGGGCGUAGGGCCUGGGCAGAAGGUGGGCCGUGAGGUCCACUGGACCGGGCUCUAGUGCAGAUCCUGGUGGUAGUAACAGCAUAGCCGGGUGAGAAUCCCGGUCGCCGUAAGGGCAAGGGUUUCCCGGCAAUGCGUCGUCAGCCGGGAGUUAGCCGGUCCUAAGGGUAACCCGAAAGGAGUUACUCGAAAGGGAAACUGGUUAAUAUUCCAGUGCCUUGGUAGUAUCGUUACUACCCAUGCAUGUUACCUUAGGAUAGGGCAGGCAGAGCUCUCGCUCUGUUUAACUCUCCAAGCUUAGGGGAGUCUCGUAAUGAGGAGAACCUAGGCGAGGGAGGAAUAGCCCUGCGUUAGCAGGGUCUGCUCGAUUCCUAGGGGCCAUGAAAGCAUGUAUGGGGAGAUGCUACCAAGCCCGUACCGAGAACCGACACAGGUGCCCUGGUUGAGAAGACCAAGGCGUAUCGGGUAUACCGGAGGCGAGGGAACUCGGCAAAUUAGCCCCGUAACUUCGGGAUAAGGGGUGCCUGCGGUCUUUACGAGGAGUAGGGAUCGCAGGUCGCAGUGACAAGGGGGUCCUGACUGUUUAAUAAAAACAUAGGUGGCCGCAAGCCCGAAAGGGUUAGUACGGCCGCUGAAUCCUGGCCAGUGGCGGUACCUAAAACCCCGGUCCAACGGGGCCAAGGGCCGCUAAACGCCGGGAGUAACUCUGACUCUCUUAAGGUAGCCAAAUGCCUUGUCGGGUAAGUUCCGACGUGCAUGAAUGGAUCAACGAGGGCCCCACUGUCCCCGCCUCCAACCCGGUGAACCCACGUAACGUGGACGAACAGUCCACGGACACCCAUCGGGGAGAGAAGACCCUGUGGAGCUUUACUGCAGCCUGUUGCUGCGGUACGGUUGUGGAUGCAGAGAGUAGCUGGGAGCCUUCGAAGGUGCCUCUCCGGGGGCACUGGAGGCGCAAGUGUAACACCAGCCAUCCAUGGCUGUAUCGCUAACCUCGCAAGAGGGACAACGACAGGUGGGCAGUUCGGCUGGGGCGGCACCCCCUUGAAAAGGUAUCGAGGGGGCCCAAAGGUUGGCUCAAGCGGGUCAGAACUCCGCUGGUGAGGGUAAGGCCAAAAGCCAGCCUGACUGGAUCCCUAAACGCAGGGGAUCCAGAGGGGAAACCCGGGCCUAACGAUCCAUUGUGUCCCCACUAGUGGGGGCCAGUGGUGACAGAAAAGUUACCCCAGGGAUAACAGGCUUGUCGCGGGCGAGAGCUCCCAUCGACCCCGCGGUUUGGUACCUCGAUGUCGGCUCUUCCCAUCCUGGCCCUGCAGCAGGGGCCAAGGGUGAGGCUGCUCGCCUAUCAAAGGGGAACGUGAGCUGGGUUUAGACCGUCGUGAGACAGGUCGGUCUCUACCUGAUGGGUGCGCGGUAGCCUGAGGGGAAGUCGCCCUUAGUACGAGAGGAACAGGGCGGCGUGGCCUCUGGUGUACCUGCUGUCCGAGUGGGCAGGCAGGGCAGCUAAGCCAUCGGGGAUAACCCCUGAAAGCAUCUAAGGGGGAAGCCCCUCCCGAGAAGAGGCUACCACCGUUU
rnacentral:rRNA from 1 species